CCUACGGGCGGCAGCAGUGAGGAAUAUUGGUCAAUGGACGAGAGUCUGAACCAGCCAAGUAGCGUGAAGGAUGACUGCCCUAUGGGUUGUAAACUUCUUUUAUAUGGGAAUAAAACGUUCCACGUGUGGGAUUUUGUAUGUACCAUAUGAAUAAGGAUCGGCUAACUCCGUGCCAGCAGCCGCGGUAAUACGGAGGAUCCGAGCGUUAUCCGGAUUUAUUGGGUUUAAAGGGAGCGUAGGUGGAAUGUUAAGUCAGUUGUGAAAGUUUGCGGCUCAACCGUAAAAUUGCAGUUGAAACUGGCAGUCUUGAGUACAGUAGAGGUGAGCGGAAUUCGUGGUGUAGCGGUGAAAUGCUUAGAUAUCACGAAGAACUCCGAUUGCGAAGGCAGUUCACUGGACUGCAACUGACACUGAGGCUCGAAAGUGUGGGUAUCAAACAGGAUUAGAUACCCCAGUAGUC
rnacentral:rRNA from 1 species